CUUUGACAGAUGCUAGCGUGAGAACAGCAGAUAAAAGAAGAAAAAGCUCAGAAUUUGGAGCAAAGUUUUUUAAUAUCUCUAUUUUUGAUUGUUUUACUUAAAGACUCUCUCGCAGAUACACCAGACAGUGAAGGCAGUCCGGCCCAGACCAGCAGAGGGACCCUGCACCCUUUCAAGUCAGGCGACUGGUUGCUGGUGAAAGAUAUCAGAAGGAAACACUCGAAGGCAAAACGCUGGUUGGGCCCAUUCCAAGUCCUACUAACCACUCAGACAGCAGUGAAGGUCGCGGCAAGUGGAUCCACAUCAUUGUAAGCUCUUCACAGGGGGAAUCGCCUGUGACACAGAAAGAACAACCAGACAAAACACACGGGGCAGAAUAAUCCCCGCACCUCAUCCAGGCAGUAGGCAGUCUACCCUCUACCUGCAACGAUGUGCCGAACCGAGAAGCAGCUCAUUGUCAGGGUAGCCCUUGUGCUGAUGGUUGCCUUGUGGUCGAGCAUCUGGGGAGACCUGCAGCUGAACACCAUGCCAAGCCCCAGGGAUGUCUGUACAAUAGGAGGAACUGCCAACGAGCAGAGAGACAAAUGUCUGACUAAGCUACCAAGGGGACGGCCCGAACCUGGAGACUGAAGCUGGUGCGGUAGCUGGGACGAUGUGUGGUCUCACUCGCAACCAAGUUAUUGGGGCCCAAACGAGGUACGUAAUCUGAAGGAGACUGCAGCGCUUUUCUCGUUAAAGAGAGGCCGAGUUGGGACUGGGACCAGAUCCAACCCCUUGUUAUUGACCAUAAAUGGUCUGAAACAAAAUCCCUGGUCUAUCGCAUAUUCACAACGAUGUUAUGAUCCAUCUGAAGACUCAUUUUACAUGAUUAUCGGAGUAGACCAGGCAGGCACAGAUAGCAUGGGGAUAAUUAAGGUAGUUCUUCACUCUAAGGCGGGAACUGUCGGUUGGUGGUUACAUUCCGGUCAACGCAC